UACGUAGGUGGCGAGCGUUAUCCGGAAUUAUUGGGCGUAAAGGGUGCGCAGGCGGCAAGAAAAGCUUAAGGUGAAAGCGUGGGGCUCAACCCCAUAAAGCCUUAGGAACUAGCUUGCUAGAGUGCAGGAGAGGGCGAUGGAAUUCCAUGUGUAGCGGUGAAAUGCGUAGAUAUAUGGAGGAACACCAGUGGCGAAGGCGACGAUCUGGGCUGCAACUGACGCUCAGUCCCGAAAGCGUGGGGAGCAAAUAGG
rnacentral:rRNA from 1 species